rnacentral:rRNA from 1 species
GACGAACGCUGGCGGCGUGCUUAACACAUGCAAGUCGAACGGAAAGGCCCUGCUUUUGUGGGGUGCUCGAGUGGCGAACGGGUGAGUAACACGUGAGUAACCUGCCCUUGACUUUGGGAUAACUUCAGGAAGCUGGGGCUAAUACCGGAUAGGAGCUCCUGCUGCAUGGUGGGGGUUGGAAAGUUUCGGCGGUUGGGGAUGGACUCGCGGCUUAUCAGCUUGUUGGUGGGGUAGUGGCUUACCGAGGCUUUGACGGGUAGCCGGCCUGAGAGGGUGACCGGCCACAUUGGGACUGAGAUACGGCCCAGACUCCUACGGGAGGCAGCAGUGGGGAAUAUUGCACAAUGGGCGGAAGCCUGAUGCAGCAACGCCGCGUGCGGGAUGACGGCCUUCGGGUUGUAAACCGCUUUCGCCUGUGACGAAGCGUGAGUGACGGUAAUGGGUAAAGAAGCACCGGCUAACUACGUG